rnacentral:rRNA from 1 species
GUCAGCAGGGAUAGCACGUCGGAUGCACCAGAUAGAUCGCUGAAAAUAAGGAACGUUGUGCGUAGUUAGUAUCCGGAUCGGUGGCCAUUUGGGUAAUCAUGUCCUGCUGGAU